UUUUUGCCUCCAUGAGCCAAAGAAGUCCAGAAGGGGUAGGCCCUAGGGUGUAGAGAAAGAUAUUAUCACACACAAAGCCUUCUUGAAGAUACAAGCUGUGUCAUGGAGUCCUCAGUUUCUGCUCUACAUGAAGAGUGAACAGUUAACUCAUCUGGUCCCACAUAUGUGGUUAGUAGUCACUCACCCAAUUCCUCAUCCAGUGUUAAAAGUCAUAACUGAGUCCUCAUUUUGAGAUCACCAUUUCCUCAGAUAACCCUACAUCUGGAGUCAGUGACCAUUCAUCAGGCUUCAAAUCUCAUGUCAAUGGACAUUCAGCCUAACUGAGUCUUCAUUUUGAGAUCACCAUUUCCUCAGAUAACCCUACAUCUGGAGUCAGUGAUCAUUCAUCAGGCUUCAAAUCUCAUGUCAGUGGAUAUUCAGCCUCAAAUCUAGGCUUUAUCAUCAUCCAUCUGGGGCCACACACACAUACUAGUGAUUCCUCACCUAACCUCACAUGUAGUGUCAAUAGUUAUUAAUCGAGCUGCACUUCCAUGUUCAGAAGUCACCCACCUUGCCUUGAAUGAUGUCCCCAGAGCACCAGGGCUGAAGCUGUUGCCAGCUCCCAAGGUACCACCAUCUCCGGAACUGCCAAACCAUGAACAAGCAUAGUAUCACCAGAUUCCCUGGACUCUGAAGGCAGCAGCUGCCACAGUGUCUGCAAGUCAGAGCUUGGGUCAGCUGACCCCAGAGAAUACCCAUUUCUCCCUUAACCCAAGUCAGGUCUUCUUGCAGCCAUUGCAUUUUCCUCAGCCUAAUGGCAGUUUACUCUGAGGUCAUCAUUGCAUCACAGAACAAAGAAUUCCCAUCCCCCAUAUGGGAUGAGGCCUAACAGCCUUCUUCCAGAAUUU
rnacentral:lncRNA from 1 species